rnacentral:SRP_RNA from 1 species
CCGUGCUAAACGGGGCGAUAGCGGUGCCUUGUAACCCGCAAUCCGCUGUAGCGGGGUUGAAGCUUUUCUAGAGGGCCUGUCUUGUGGGGACUGGCCUCUGUAAGUGGUGUAGACGGUUGGGUCCUACGCAACGGAAACCUAUGAACCCCGCCAGGUCCGGAAGGAAGCAACGGUAAGUAGGCCAUUUCGGGUGCCGUAGGGUAGCCUGGCCCGAGCUAACUGCAGAGGUAACGCCUGGAAGGCAGUGUUCGAAGAAAGCGCACGG